GAAACAGACCUGGCGGCGGCUACACAUGCAGUCGAGCGCGCCUUCGGGUGAGCGGCGGACGGGUUAGUAACGCGUGGGAACGUGCCCUUCUCUACGGAAUAGCCUCUGGAAACGGAGAGUAAUACCGUAUACGCCCUUUGGGGGAAAGAUUUAUCGGAGAAGGAUCGGCCCGCGUUAGAUUAGGUAGUUGGUGGGGUAACGGCCUACCAAGCCUACGAUCUAUAGCUGGUUUUAGAGGAUGAUCAGCAACACUGGGACUGAGACACGGCCCAGACUCCUACGGGAGGCAGCAGUGGGGAAUCUUAGACAAUGGGGGCAACCCUGAUCUAGCCAUGCCGCGUGAGUGAUGAAGGCCUUAGGGUCGUAAAGCUCUUUCGCCUGUGAUGAUAAUGACAGUAGCAGGUAAAGAAACCCCGGCUAACUCCGUGCCAGCAGCCGCGGUAAUACGGAGGGGGUUAGCGUUGUUCGGAAUUACUGGGCGUACAGCGCGCGUAGGCGGAUUAGAAAGUAGGGGGUGAAAUCCCGGGGCUCAACCCCGGAACUGCCUCCAAAACUGCUAGUCUAGAGUUCGAGAGAGGUGAGUGGAAUUCCGAGUGUAGAGGUGACAUUCGUAGAUAUUCGGAAGAACACCAGUGGCGAAGGCGGCUCACUGGCUCGAUACUGACGCUGAAGUGCGAAAGUGUGGGGAGCAAACAGGAUAGAUACCUGGUAAGUCCACCGGUAACGAUGAAUCCAACAACGGAGAAAUAACAUUCGGGAGACACCUAAGGAUUAAGGUUCGGCUGGGG
rnacentral:rRNA from 1 species